UGGAGCCGCACAGGUGGGAGGCGCAACCCUGGGAACCAGGAUUGCAAGACAUGAGGGCAGGGUUGCAGGGUGACGUCAUGCAGGACGAGCCCUUGGAGAAGGGAGGGGGCAGGGCAGACAAGGGGAGGAAAGAGUUGUGGGAGUGGAAAGUGUUGGGGGCGGGGACGAGAGAGUGAAAGUGGUUGUGGGAUGAAGAGAGGUAAUGCGGAGGAUUGAACACAUGGCUGCCGCCAUUGUGGACUCCCACGAGGCAGCCAGCGACGCCCAGGGGCUUGGCCAUGUGGCCAGUGCCAUCUUGGAUCUCAGCCACAUGGCCCCCUGCCCCCUCGUUCUCGGCCAUGCGGUCGUCACCCUGACGGGGCGGGGGGAGAAGUCACUUUUAAAGCUACCGGGACACUGUUCUUCGGGGAAAACAGCUGGGAUAGAGGGACACAGGGAAGAUUCUCUGACAACCUGUGCAAAAUUGUCAGAGCCAUGGUGUUGUAAAUAAAAUCGCAGGGCCAAGGCCUUUAUUAAGAAGCAGCUCUUUUAUUGGAAUGGGGGUCGCAGGGAUGCUGCUGCUGCUCAGCCAGUUCAACGUGGAGAGGAAGUCCCAAGUGCAGUCCCGUCCGAAGGCAGGAAUGGGAGUUCCAACCUCACCAGCACGUCAAGAACGCAACAGGUGUGUCAAGUUGGGGGGGGGAUCAUUUUGUUACACCGCUUAUCAGGUGAUGGCAAGUUGUACGAGG
rnacentral:lncRNA from 12 species